UACGUAGGUGGCAAGCGUUAUCCGGAUUUACUGGGUGUAAAGGGCGUGUAGGCGGGACUGCAAGUCAGAUGUGAAAACCAUGGCUCAACCUGUGGCCUGCAUUUGAAACUGUAGUUCUUGAGUACUGGAGAGGCAGACGGAAUUCCUAGUGUAGCGGUGAAAUGCGUAGAUAUUAGGAGGAACACCAGUGGCGAAGGCGGUCUGCUGGACAGCAACUGACGCUGAGGCGCGAAAGCGUGGGGAGCAAACAGG
rnacentral:rRNA from 1 species